CAAAUAUCAUUCCGGACAUCUCCC
rnacentral:snRNA from 1 species